GGAACCCAAGUACGGGAAUAAGUUCAUUGUUGGGGGAGAAGAUAUGUGGAUUCAUGUAUAUGAUUUUCAUACCGGUGAUGAGAUAGUAUGCAACAAGGGUCAUCAUGGUCCUGUGCACUGUGUGCGUUUCUCACCAGGAGGGGAAUCAUAUGCCUCUGGAUCUGAGGACGGAACCAUCAGAAUAUGGCAGACAGGCCCUUUGUCGCAUUAUGAGAAUGAGGGAUUCACAGAAAAUGGAUCAAUUAGAAAGGUGAAAGUAACAGCAGAAGAAGUUUCGCUUAAGGUUGAGGGCUUCCACAUUUCAGACGACGGGAAGGCCAAAGGCAAGGAAGAAGCAGGGAAGGACUGAUGCAAGGAAAAAUUGACCGCAUCUUUUCUUUUUUAUAUAUUUUCAUUUGGUGGUGGUGUUUGAUGUGGUUGACCCGACUUGUUACCGUUUAAGAGCACCUAAUUUUUGUACGAGGCCUAGAUAGUAAUGCAUGUCAUAGAUAGGCUGGAUCAUACUGUUUUUGCAUUUGAGCUAGCCUUAAAAUCGAUCGCUCAAGUCUUGUUGCCCCUCUACUGUCUACAUUGUGUUUGGCUGGGAAAACCCUGUACACGUAUUCUUGAAUGCAGCUUCAUUUCCA
rnacentral:misc_RNA from 1 species